UACGUAGGGUGCAAGCGUUGUCCGGAAUUAUUGGGCGUAAAGGGCGCGUAGGCGGCUUUGCAAGUGGCGGGUGAAAUCCCUCGGCUUAACCGAGGAACUGCCUGUCAAACUGCAUGGCUUGAGACCAGGAGAGGUGAGUGGAAUUCCCAGUGUAGCGGUGAAAUGCGUAGAUAUUGGGAGGAACACCAGUGGCGAAGGCGGCUCACUGGACUGGUACUGACGCUGAGGCGCGAAAGCGUGGGGAGCAAACAGG
rnacentral:rRNA from 1 species